GCCAGGUAGAUGUCAUAGGUCAGCCACUCGUUCCACCUGGACACAGGUAGACAGGUCACCCUUGUGAAAGAGGACUUGAUCUGAAUAGGAUGUUUACAGACAGCUGAAGAGAGACAGGAAGCAGGGAGCAGAGAGAGG